UACGUAGGGUGCGAGCGUUGUCCGGAAUUAUUGGGCGUAAAGGGUUCGUAGGCGGUCUGUUGCGUCGGGGGUGAAAACUCAGGGCUUAACCCUGAGCCUGCUUCCGAUACGGGCAGACUAGAGGUAUGCAGGGGAGAACGGAAUUCCUGGUGUAGCGGUGAAAUGCGCAGAUAUCAGGAGGAACACCGGUGGCGAAGGCGGUUCUCUGGGCAUUACCUGACGCUGAGGAGCGAAAGUGUGGGGAGCGAACAGG
rnacentral:rRNA from 1 species